GGACAAGGAGGGGGAGGCGCUGAAGCACGCCAGCAACGAGCUGGAUCGAAAGUGGGAGAAGAGCAUCACGGUGCGGGACGAAAUCACUUGCGAACACGAUGAGGAUUCUAUCACUCUUGCAUCUGAUGGUGUUCAUAAGGACGCUGGUACCAUUAAGAUCUUGGUCCAGCAAGCUCUAAAAGAUGCUUUCAUCAAUUGGGGGGAUUCUUAUCUCAAGGACUUCAUACGUGAUUCCUUGAAGCAAGUUGUGGAAGAGUACCAUAACUCCUGACCAGUGUCCAGCAACAACUCCAUCGCCUCGGUGGAUAUGAUGAAAGUGGUGAAAGAAGCAAUGACAGAACAUCAAACCUUCAGCAGGGUGCUAUACGUGUUAGCUCGUGGAACGCCUAUAACACUGCUUUAUUGCUAGGACUGUUCGUGGUGAUUAUGAUAGAUAUCCAGACAAGAUUCUGAUAAGGAACUUAGUUGUGGAAAUGAUUUUCAGCUUCAUUGCUGUAACAGUUUUCCAUCUCUACAUUAUAAUAUUUCACUUUGU